CACGUAGGCACCAAGCGUUGUCCGGAUUUAUUGGGCGUAAAGAGCUCGUAGGCGGUUCGGUAAGUCGGGUGUGAAAACUCUGGGCUCAACCCAGAGCCGCCACCCGAUACUGCUGUGACUCGAGUGCGGUAGGGGAGCGGGGAAUUCCUGGUGUAGCGGUGAAAUGCGCAGAUAUCAGGAGGAACACCGAUGGCGAAGGCAGGUCUCUGGGCAUUAACUGACGCUGAGGAGCGAAAGCAUGGGGAGCGAACAGG
rnacentral:rRNA from 1 species